rnacentral:rRNA from 2 species
GGCUAAUAUGACCACGAGACCGAUAGCGAACAAGUACCGUGAGGGAAAGUUGAAAAGCACUUUGAAGAGAGAGUUCAAGAGUACGUGAAACCGUUUAGGGGUAAACCUGAGAAACCCGAAAGGUCGAAGGGAGAAAUUCAAUCGCGUUUCGGCGCAGGCGUCGGACGGACGCGUGACGGAAAGCGUUCGCUCGUUUUUCGCACCUUCCGUUCUUCGCGCGAACCGGCGUCGAACGCGUGCACUUUUCUCCUGGUAGGACGUCGCGAUCCGUUGGGUGUCGGUCUACGGCUCGCGGUGGAGUCCGUCCGUACGAUUCGCGUCGUACGGACGAACCCGCGUGUUUAACCCGACUGACUCGCUCGACGGUAUACGAAAGGUUCAAGGCCGCUAUCUUAUUAGCGUUCGACUCGUAGCAAGCGCGCCAUUUACGUGUCGACGAUCGGACCCGGUGCCGAUCUUGACCUAUGGCGACUGUUAGCUACGAAGUUCUCGAACAGACCUUCUCUUCGGACCGAUUUGCGACGCUA